rnacentral:rRNA from 1 species
GAUGAACGCUGGCGGCGUGCCUAAUACAUGCAAGUCGAGCGAACAGACGAGGAGCUUGCUCCUCUGACGUUAGCGGCGGACGGGUGAGUAACACGUGGAUAACCUACCUAUAAGACUGGGAUAACUUCGGGAAACCGGAGCUAAUACCGGAUAAUAUAUUGAACCGCAUGGUUCAAUAGUGAAAGACGGUUUUGCUGUCACUUAUAGAUGGAUCCGCGCCGCAUUAGCUAGUUGGUAAGGUAACGGCUUACCAAGGCGACGAUGCGUAGCCGACCUGAGAGGGUGAUCGGCCACACGGGAACUGAGACACGGUCCAGACUCCUACGGGAGGCAGCAGUAGGGAAUCUUCGGCAAUGGGCGAAAGCCUGACGGAGCAACGCCGCGUGAGUGAUGAAGGUCUUCGGAUCGUAAAACUCUGUUAUUAGGGAAGAACAAAUGUGUAAGUAACUAUGCACGUCUUGACGGUACCUAAUCAGAAAGCAACGGCUAACUACGUG